GGAAGGCUGGCGAUGGACGAGCUCCUCGCCAAUCGGGUCAGGUCCGGAAGGAAGCAGCCCUAACGAGUUCAGGCUCGGGUCAUUGUCCAGUCUUCCACC
rnacentral:SRP_RNA from 1 species